rnacentral:rRNA from 1 species
CCUACGGGCGGCAGCAGUGAGGAAUAUUGGUCAAUGGCCGAGAGGCUGAACCAGCCAAGUCGCGUGAGGGAAGACGGCCCUAUGGGUUGUAAACCUCUUUUGUCGGGGAGCAAAGCGAGUCACGUGUGCCUCAUUGGGUGUACCCGAAGAAAAAGGAUCGGCUAACUCCGGGCCAGCAGCCGCGGUAAUACGGAGGAUGCGAGCGUUAUCCGGGUUUAUUGGGUUUAAAGGGUGCGUAGGCGGAGGUGUAAGUCAGCGGUCAAAUUGCGGGGCUCAACCCCGUACUGCCGUUGAAACUGCAUGCCUUGAGUGCGCGAGAGGUAUGCGGAAUGCGUGGUGUAGCGGUGAAAUGCAUAGAUAUCACGCAGAACUCCGAUUGCGAAGGCAGCAUACCGGCGCGCAACUGACGCUCAUGCACGAAAGCGUGGGUAUCGAACAGGAUUAGAUACCCCAGUAGUC